CUCCUUAACUGACAAUAGUCUCAAGUUUGUUAAGCUCCUUUUUACAGCCAAGCUGCUGCAUGAAGCCACUGUGUUGUUGUCGUAGUGCAUCGGUCAAUGUGUUUGUCAAGAAAUCGCACAAACAGGCUGUACGUAGUGAUUAGCGGCAAGAGAGAGACCUUCAGAGAGACCAGAGAGAAGAAGCACAUGAUGGAAAAAGAGAGGACACCAUUUUGUCUUGAAGUACUUUAAUGAGGACCACGAACAACAUCUAAACAUAGAGAUAGGACACCUUGGCGUGAGGGGGAGAGAGAGAGGGGGACGACACCCAGCAAAGGGCCGUGGGCUGGAAUCAAGCCUGGGCUGCUGCAGUGAGGGCAG